CACAGACAAGAGGACAUAGUGGAAACCUUGCAAGGAAGGUCACUCCUGUGAUUCAGUCCAGUUUUGCAUUCUGAGCAUGGCUACAUACUUUGGACAAGGCAGUUGUUGGACAAAACCCCCAGGACAGAGGGAAGACAGGAAGAUAGGUCCUGAAGCCCCUGCUGAAGAGUGGUGCAGUGCUGGGAGUGACCAAGAUGGGUAUGGGAAGAAUCCCACAGCCAGAGCUGAAGGGUGGGAAAGCCAUUCCUCUUAGGAUGUUAAACAAUCUGGGAAGUUUAAAGAUUGCUGAACUAAAUACUGGAGGAAAGACCCUGUUCUGUAAAGAGACAGCUAAUACAGCCAGAUUGGUGUCGAACAACAUGAAGAGAAGUCCAGGGAAUGGAGAAUAUUAGGGAGCUGCUAGGUGACAAAGGCUACAUGUGUUGGUCACUUCUCUUCACCAUAGCCUGUGACAUCCCAUCAAGAUUCAUCAGAAGCAGUGUCAACUGGGAAGCUGAGAGUUGGACCAUAAUUAUAAGAUGACUGCCUCCUUUUGAAAUCACAGAAAUCACAGCAAGUGACGUGAACUUGCCAAGGUCCCAGUAAACAGCAGGUAACUUCAGUGGAGAGUGUCCCUGUAGGUGUGGGUACAGAGGGCUGCACGAGGGCACCAGACCUUCAGGAAAGUCAAGUGAGCCAUCAAAUAAGGGAACAGCAGCCAGAUCGUGGACUCCCCCAAUUGUUAACAUGCUUCAGUAGCUAUGCGUGGCCUGCUGAGAACAAAACCCUACCUGCCAGCUGAAGGAGAUAAAAGUAGGUCACCACUGUGAAUUAUGUCCUGACUUCAGCAGUGACAUCACUCUCUGCAAAGUACAGGAGAUACAAGGACUAGAGGAUGGAACGUGGAACUGGGAACUUGACUUCUCUGCAUACUCUUUUAAUCAGUGGAGAAGCUUUCCUUCUGUAUUGGUUUCUAAGAACUGAGAAAGGUGGAGACUUGUGGAAAGAGAACAUAGAUGCAACACAGAGACAGAAAAGAGGCCGACUGAAAGGACAGUUCUGGGUCAUCCAGCCCAGACCUUUGGUAUCAGCAACAACCAUGUCACGGAGGUCGGUCCUGCUUGUGAGUGCAUCAGGCUGGCAUCUGCUUGGCAGCGUCGGUGCCAGAAGAAUGCUGUCCUGUCAUGAUGAAGCCAAGUGUGGUUCCAAUUAGUCUUUCCAGGGGUGCUACUGCUCUUCAUGUAGGAUGGUUUUAGAGACCCAGCAAAUGAAAAAGUCAGGUAUAUAAUAACAGAGGGAUGACUCCAUAGAGAGAUGGAAAUUGGACACUUGAGGGAAGGAAUUCUGCUGUGAAGGAAUCAACAGGAGGUGCAUCAUCGGCUCUGACACAUCAGCAUGAUACCAGGGAUGCUUAUGUAAAACACUCAGAUUUUGGAGAGAUUCAGCCAUGUGUCUUGUUUGGCAUGAGAGAAGAGCUAUACAAAAAGGAGCAACAUUCUCACCCUCUUUACAAAUUAUAUCUUGUGAGUCAAGUGACAGUGUAAAUUGGGCAAAUCAGCUAUUUCUUACAUUUUUAAAAGCAUAUCAAGAACCCGAACCUGUAACAAAGAAGUACUACAACAGGCUUCACUUGAGAUGGCAGAAGUUGGCAAUGUAUGUGGCAGGACGCCAUCUACCACCUUAGACUUCUCACGAGGGUUGUGCUGUAGUUAAGCAGACUGUGGUAAUGGGAAGUAGACCUCACCUGUGCGGCUGCCACUGCUCUCUGCAGUGGGACAAGAGGAGCAGAGAAAGUUGGGCAAGCCGUGAACUGCUCUUCUGAGACUCAAAACCACCUUUGUACUAACCCUGUUUUUCUAUCAUGCUGCCUGCUGCUCAGGCUCAGAGUCUGCACGAAGAAAUAGAAAUAUUUUUAUAGACUGUGAAGCUAGACUUGUUCUAUAAGGAAGUGAAAAAGGGGAUAUUUAAGAAACAGGAAAGUUUUGGGUUGCAAAGCUGCAGCUGAUUAUCUGUUCAUUAUCACGUUUUCCAGCAGUUUGUGUUGAUAAGUGUGAAAAAAGUCUGAACACUGUUGUGGCCCUUCCAGCUCUUAGUCACUGAAGCUCAAGAUAGACUGCAUAGCAACUCACUUUCUCUGCUUACACAUUUUUACACUAGCCAGUUUAAGAUGCAUACCUUUUUUUUUAGCAAUAAGACUAAUGUUGUAUUUCUGGUGUGCAACCAGGAGUACAGAGGAAGGAAAGGCAAAACUUAUGCCUGGGAGUUUUGACGUUAAACGUCUUAUGCAUGCACAUGGAUAAAAGUACUGAUGGGUAUUUAAUUUUUUUAAAGAGGCUGCAAAUAUACCCGAGGCAUUUUAUCAUCACAACACAAUGACCCAUAUUUCUGCAGAGAAUGAUAGAAAGACACUGGCAGAUGUAAAAAAUGUAAGAAGUCCUUUACCAUUUGAACUAACCAAAAAGUUGUAACUUUUUUGGUUUCUUUACAUCAGUACUUACA